CAGCGACCCGAGGGAAGGGCGCGGCCGGGCCCGCGCACCCGGGCGCCCACCUGGGACCCUCCCCAAGACCGCCCCAAAAUAUUCCUCGGAACUGGGAGCUCGAGGGGGUUCGGUUCAAGGCUCCGGGACUGUUACCUCGGACAUCCGCCCGCGACCGCCGACCGGAUUUUACAGCCUCGAUCCUCGACUCCCAGAACAGUAGAACGGAAUACCCCAGCAGAACAGCGGCAGCGGAGCAUCUCUGGUCUCCUCUGCUCAGUUUAACCAUGGCACGUGCCCCGAGUUCCAGAACCUGCUGGAUGCUUGGCUUGGGGUCCUUAGUGUUGGAGACAGCCUGCCUGGAGUCCUGUGCCCCCGUUCCCCUUCUGAGUCCACAGCCUACCCUGCCUUGGGAUCCACAGGAAAGCCCUCUGCCUGCACCCACCCCGUUGGUCUCCUUAAGGCUCCUCCAAACUUCCCAAUGAACGUGCAAGGCUGGCCACCGAGACCGCAGCGCGGGAGUACAGACAGGACGGGUCUCGGCCACCAAGUCACCGGCGCCCUCCCCACGCCAACACGCCUGCUGGGGCACAACUCCCAGGUCACCCGGCGCCCUUCGCCCUCUCCCCGCUACACCUGGGGACCCUCCUGACUCCGACUGCAGGUCUCCGAACUACACCAAGAAGCUGGCCCUGCGUGCUCAGAGGUCAAGAGCUACAAGCAGGUACCUGCAUUCUUGGUCCCGCCCAUGAUGGGUCCCUCCUCUUUUUCUUGGUCCUGGGCCUUGACCCCACCCCUUAGACUUGCUUCUGGCCCCGCCCCUUUCCGGCUACCUCGAAGCGUGGAGUUCCUCAGCACCGCCUUUUCUUGACUCCGCCCCGAGCCGCUCCCCGGGUUCUGGCCCCACCCACCCCGCCCUGUAGCCCUCUCCCCGCGAUGCCGGAUGGUGGUCAAAUUGCCACCCGCAAAGCUGACCGCAGGAGCCGCACAGAUAGACUUUCUCCUGCCCUAGAUUCGCUGCACAGUCCUGGGUCUGGGGUUGGAUCCCAGAUUCUCAGCUGUUUAGGGAAGUGGAGGAGAUGUUCGAGGCUCCUCUGGGUUGGGGGACUCCUGUAGCGUCCAGCACUCACCGCCGCCCGCAGCGCUGCCUCCUGCAGAGCCCCAGGAGGAAACCGCAUGAGCUGAGAAGCUGGCAUGUUUCCAAGGCCCUCCCUGAUUCUCCUGGUGACCCUGGGCAGUUGUCCCUACCGAGCUCUAAUUCUCCCUCCCCCCAGGCUGGUGGCAUUCCCUGACCCCGGCCUGCAUGCCACAUGCCCUCUUUAAUGUUGAAGGACAGCCAGGUGUUCCUCAGGAGCCUCAUUUUGUAGAUGCAGAGACAGGCCCAGAAAGAUGCCACUAGCUUCGGAGGAUGCUAUGUUGGGCCAUCCCUAAUGGGACAGGAGGUGAGGGGUCAGGCUGUCCUCUAUGGACUCACCAGGUGGGUUUCCCUACCCCCACCUUAAGCCCCCAGACCUUGGCUGCCAGGCAGGAAGUGAAAGGGGCCUGCAGGAAGCCCCAGGAGGAACCGAGACUUAAGUCUGCCCUGCCCCCACCUGCUGGGCCCUGGGGACCUUGUGGAAACCAAGCCCUCCUUUAGGAAAAACUGUCCAAAAACAGGCUAGGGGUGGCAGGGCUGCUUCUCUAUUCCCACCCCCACCAGUGGUCUUUCCAGAGUCUAUCUUAGAUCCCUCUUACUGUAAAAUGAGGGAGAAAAGUCUUUUGAGUUAUAAAAACAGGUGAGGCCAGGCAUCAAUCCCUGGAACUGGUCACUCCUAAGGAGGGAGUGUGGCCCCGUGACCUUCAGCUAAGUGGGAAUUCUGGUCUAACUCAGCCCCACCACUAAUUGUGAGGAGUGGGGAGUUGUUUGCUUUAAUUUUUUAUCAUUGUGGUAGUAGGGAGUGUACCCAGGACCUCACACAUGCUAGGCAAACACUUGACCACUGAGCUGCACCCUCAUCCCCUUUCCUAACUUUUGUUCUGAGAAGAGGUCUCCAUAAAUUUCCAAGGCUGUCUUCUAAUUUUUGAUUCUCCUGCCUCAGCCUGCUGGGUGGCACCACCACACUGGCCUAAUUGCAGUUGGCCGAUCCUUCGCCCUCUGAGCCUCUCUUUUCCUACCUGCAAAAUAGCACGAUCCCCACUCACGAAUGUGAAAUGGUUCAGAUUUUUCAGGAAAGCAACUCCACCAACGGGGAGGCUUUAAAAGGUUGAGGCCUUGCCAGGUGCAGUGGCGCACACCUGUAAUCCCAGCAGCUUGGAAGGCUGAGGUAGGAGGAUCAAGAAUUCAAAGCCAGCCUCAGCAAAAGGGAGGCACUGAGCAAAUCAGUGAGACCC